AUCUUCAGGGCAGGGUGAAACUCCCUACCGGCGGUAAAGCCCGCGAGCGCUCCCGACGCGUCGUCUCUUCGACGCAUCAAAAGCGCAUGAUCCGGUGAGAUUCCGGAGCCGACGGUCACAGUCCGGACGAAAGAAGAU
rnacentral:ncRNA from 1 species